rnacentral:rRNA from 1 species
GAUGAACGCUAGCGGGAGGCCUAACACAUGCAAGCCGAGCGGUAGAAUCUUUUCGGAGAUUUGAGAGCGGCGUACGGGUGAGGAACACGUGUGCAACCUGCCUUUAUCUGGGAGAUAGCCUUUCGAAAGGAAGAUUAAUAUCCCAUAAUAUAUUGAGUGGCAUCACUUAAUAUUGAAAGCUCCGGCGGAUAGAGAUGGGCUCGCGCAAGAUUAGAUAGUUGGUGAGGUAACGGCUCACCAAGUCUACGAUCUUUAGGGGGCCUGAGAGGGUGAUCCCCCACACUGGAACUGAGACACGGACCAGACUCCUACGGGAGGCAGCAGUGAGGAAUAUUGGACAAUGGGUGCAAGCCUGAUCCAGCCAUCCCGCGUGAAGGAUUAAGGUCCUAUGGAUUGUAAACUUCUUUUAUACAGGGAUAAACCUCUCCUCGUGAGGAGAGCUGAAGGUACUGUAUGAAUAAGCACCGGCUAACUCCGUGCCAGCCGCCGCAGUAA